rnacentral:lncRNA from 1 species
CAUUACGGUGUGCAGGUUUUUUUCGAUGGUCUGGCGCCCCUUUGAAAUGCAUCCCACUCUUUCUCAGCUGGUGGUGAGCAGGGAGAAAUCGACGAUGACCCAUAUAGACGACCUUCUUACAAUGCUUCAAGUACAUGCUGUCUGUGUCGUCUAAACAGUGGGUGCAUGCCCGAUAUCCCUUAUUUGUCUGUCCUGAAAGGUUACUCAAUGCAGGCCAAUCAUUGAUGGUUACGAACAACAAUGCUCGUAGAUUAAAGAUCUCUUGUCUAUCCUCAUCCCAC